rnacentral:rRNA from 1 species
AGUGAACGCUGGCGGUAGGCCUAACACAUGCAAGUCGAACGGCAGCACAGUAAGAGCUUGCUCUUACGGGUGGCGAGUGGCGGACGGGUGAGGAAUACAUCGGAAUCUACUUUUUCGUGGGGGAUAACGUAGGGAAACUUACGCUAAUACCGCAUACGACCUACGGUUGAAAGCAGGGGAUCUUCGGACCUUGCGCGAUUGAAUGAGCGGAUGUCGGAUUAGCUAGUUGGCGGGGUAAAGGCCCACCAAGGCGACGAUCCGUAGCUGGUCUGAGAGGCUGGUCCGCCACACUGGAACUGAGACACGGUCCAGACUCCGACGGGAGGCAGCAGUGGGGAAUAUUGGACAAUGGGCGGAAGCCUGAUCCAGCCAUACCGCGUGGGUGAAGAAGGCCUUCGGGUUGUAAAGCCCUUUUGUUGGGAAAGAAAAGCAGCAGGUUAAUACCCCGCUGUUCUGACGGUACCGAAAGAAUAAGCACCGGCUAACUUCGU